rnacentral:lncRNA from 1 species
GGGCAAGCUCCCACAGGCCAAGAUCCAAAAAGCUGAGCUCUCAAAAGCCAAGCUCCUAAAGAUCAGAUCUAGAUCCGACCAUCUCUAGAUCGGUUAGAUGACGAUCAGAUCCAGACCGACCAUCUCGAAAUUGAUCAGAUACCAACUAGAUCCAGACUGACCAUCUUCAGAUCGAUCAGAUACUGAUUAGAUCCAACCAUCUCUAGAACGGUCAGAUGCCGAUUAGAUCUGACCAUCUCCAGAUUGAUCAGAUAUCAAUUAGAUUUGACCAUCUCCAU